UGCUGCCCUGGUGUUUAUGUAGCCAGGAAAAAAAAAUAUGCGUCUCAUUCACACGAUUAAAAAGCUUAUUUAGUUAAAUCCAAGUUUAUGCCAUAUUACUGGAGUGAAAAAAAGUUUUGAUGAAGGCACUUUUUUGUUUUGUCUUAGUGGUUUUAUACUAUUUAGAAAAAAAAAAACACAGACAAAUGGCAAUCCAUUAAUUCUCCUGAGUUAUGUUUCCCAUGGAACUGACAGCUUUGAGCGUCACAGUUGUAAGGUAAAUGUUAGUAAUAUAGUUUGCUCUUAAGACACUGAAAUCGUUACUGAUAAUCACUUUCUACUUUGUGCUAUACAUUGCAAAGGUUGUACUUGAUGUGAUGAAGUGUUUUUCCAUUUUAUAUUGUGCACAGUAGACAGCUAUAUACUUCCACCAACUAAAGCAUUUGUCAUGUGAGACGAUUUCUUUCUUUUUUUUAUUCUUUUCAAAUAAUUUUUAUUAACGUUUUAAAAUUUUGUAUAGCAAGUGAUAAUAAUACUAACAUUGUUUUACUUUUUUUUAUUCUUUCAGCUUGGUGACUGCUACAGAAACCUUAUAAAGACUGGGAUAGUCAGUUAACCUCUUCGGGAUAAAGGCAAAUCUUAUGAAAUGAAGACUAUGCUGUCAUGACUUAUUUCAUGAAGGUGUUACUCUGGUAAAAUACGUUUUAAAUUCUCAGUCUAUUAAUUAUGUUAGCUAGUAUUUGACCAACAACAUAUUUUUCUUUAUCAAUAAUCCAGACAUUCUAAAAAGGAACCCUUGUGAAUAGUGGUAGAACUACCAAGGUCGCCACAGUCACUACUCUGACUGAGCACUGGGGUUCUGCUUGUGAAGAAGCUCAUCAGUGGGUGCAACGUGGGAGUCUCUUCAUUGAGUCUUGCACUAGGUCUUGUGGUUUCUAGUUACGCUUCUGCAUGUGAUUGUCUGAUGCCAUUUUCUUUUUGAGCUCAUGUGUGUUGUGAGCAAUAGAACAAACUUCUCUGUUCUACCUUUAUGGUGAGGAAGUCAUUGAAUAUUCUCAGUCUUGAAUUAAGCCAGUAGUUCUUAACCACUGAGUACAAACGAAAAUUUGGAUUUAAGUCCCCAAGCUAUUGCAGUGGAUUUCCAAUGACUGCAACCGAUACAUGAUGUACAUCAAGCAUGUCAAACUCACGGCCCACGGGCCGCAUGCGGCCCACAAUGAAUAUCUUUGCGGCCCAGCGAGCCGCAAGUUUGACAUGGUAAGGCAGAGUAGGCACCUGCUCCCCCCACAUCUGCUAAAAUUUACCUGGCCAGGAGGAAAGGUCGCUUGUGGCAGCGAGGGAGCUCAGUCUGUUCAUCCUGCUCCUCACUGCUCUCUGUAGUGAUAACGGGUGCCAGAAUAUGAUGUCAUUCCAGCCCGGCAUCACUAAACUGCACGCUUGAGGGAGCAGUAGGGAGAUCCCAGGGAGAGGCCCCACACCAGCUCCCAAAGGUAGGGAUCAAUAAAUAAAAUGAUUUGUGAAUGUUUGUCUGUCAGUGUUGUUGUCUGUCUGUGUGUGUCUGUCAGUGUCUGUGUGUCUCUGUCAGUAUGUUUGUGUGUGUGUGUGUCAGUGAGUGUGUGUCUGUCAUUGUGUGUGUCAGUGAGUGUGUGUCUGUCAGUGAGUGAGUAUGUUUGUCUGUCAGUCAGUGUGUGUGUGUGUCAGUGAGUGUGUGUUGGUCAGUGUUGCGAUGGCCGCGGCUGGACAGUGGAGGACCUGGAGGUGCACAGAGACAAGCAAAGCCACGUCACAUUCAAACGUGACAUCAACGUGCUCCACCUUCACAGGGUUUCAAGGAUCCGCUUUGGCACAGAGUGCGGACGGAACCCUCGGAGGUAUACCAGAGGCUGGACUCUGGAGUCGCCUACUGGCAGCGGCAAUGUGAGUGGAGUCUGCUUGUUGGAUAAUAUUGUUAGAUUUUUUUAAAACAGGGGCCGAGGUUUAGUAGAGGGGGGUGCUGGGAUUUAGUAUAGAGGGGGGACUAAGAGCUGUGGUGUUACGCAUAAACUCAUCACUGGUAAUAUGGACAACUUUCUUCAUAAGAAACUUGUGAAACUCUGUCAGUCUUGUUAUACCACUCCUGGACACCCCAGCUACUUGGUGAUCAGCAGGUAGAGUUGUGUCUCACAAAGUUCACCGGCUAUAAAUUUAAAAGGACAUGCUACAUUCCCAAACUACACAUUUCACUGCUCUGUAUACUGAGUAGGCUUCUGCAAAGAUUAGCUUCUUCAUAUGUACGUAUUAGAGAGCUAUGAAUAAAGAUGAUUGAUUUAUUGAAUUUAAAGCACCGUAUUCCUGUUAACCACAGCUUGUUCGAGUAUAAACUGGGUAUUUUAGGCUGGCUCAUUUGAGUCUUUAAUAACAGUUGUUAAUUCCUUUGGUGGAAUAUUUUUACCCCAUAUUCAGUUUCUUCUGUACCAUGUCCUGGGAAUAAUGACAUAAGAAUAAUAACAUCUUCAUUACUCGUUGUGCUCCAAGAAGCAGUGUCAGGGUGUGCAUCUGUGUGUGUAUAUAUGUCAGUGUGCUUCUGUGUGAGUGUGUGUGUGUACACACAUCUGUGUGUAUGUGAAUUUGUGUGUGUGUCGGUGUAUUUCUAUGUAUAUCUGUGUAAGUAUGUAUGUAUGUGGUAGUGUAUGUGCAUACAUUCAAGCAGGGCCGGACUGGAGAUGCAAAGCAGCCCUGGAAAAAAAAUAUAUGCCAGCCCCAUAAGUCAAUGCGCCAUAUAUUGUCGCAUGUAAUUUGUAAGACUAUGUCUUGCCACCCCAGAUGAUUGAGUAAUAUAUAUAUAUAUUGCUUUUUCUAAUAUAAAACAUUUGUCCUUUCAUAGUAAAAUGUUUAAUUAUACAGUAAUCAUACUCACAUGCAGACACAGACAAUCUCACUGACACACACAAGCUCAUUGAUACACAGCCUCAUAGACAAUCUCACUGAUAAACAUAAGCUCACUGACAUAAAAACACAAGCUCACUCACUAGCAGACACACACACACAUACAUGCAAGCAAGCAAGCUAACUAGCAUGCGCACACACACACAGCUUAAUGUAGUCGUUCUGGUGUCUAUAGCCUGUCCCUGCAGGCUUUUCAAUGUAAACACUGACUUUUCAGAGAAAAGGCAGUGUUUACAGUGUUUACAUUGCUUCCAAGUGACACCUCUAGUGACAGUCACUCAGACAGUCACUAGAGGUGCUUCCUACAUUCAGGGCCUCCACGCUCUGGAGCUGCUGAAGGUUCCCCAUAGAGAUACAUUGAUUUAAUGCAUCUCUAUGAGGAGAUGCUGAUUGGUGUAGCGUUUUGCAGCCAAUCCUAUGGGAAGCUUGAUGAUCUCAACCAUAGAGGCAGGGCCAGUCGAGGGGAGACCAGCAUGGCGUGGAAAAAAGAAAAGAACAGGUGAGUAAAAACACUAUUUUUAAAACACACACACACACCAUGGCAGACACACACAUACACACUCCAUGACAGACACACACACACCAUGACAGACAGACCAUGACACAGACAAACACACACACCAUGAUACAGACACAAACGUGUCACAGACACAAACACACACAUCAUGACAGACACACACCAUGACACAGACACAAACACACACAUCAUGACAGACACACACCAUGACACAGACAUACACACACCAUGACACAGACAGUCCAUGACACAGACACACACACCAUAACAGACAGAAACACACACACACACACACACACCAUGACAGACAUACACACACACAUCAUGACAGAAAGACACACACACACCAUGACAGACACACACACCAUGACAGACAGACACACACACACACCUUGACAGACAGAGACACACACACCAUGACAGACACACGCACACACACACCAUGACAGACAGACACACACACAUGACAGACACACACACCAUGACACACAGACACACACACACAUAAACAGCUGUUCUGGCGGCCUAAUGGGAAGCUGUGCUGUGCUGUCUCUGCUCCCCCGCCCUCGUGCCCUACUAAAUGAGACCGGGGCCGGAAUAUGACAUCAUAUUCCGAUCCCGGUCUCAUUCAGUAGCGCGCUGGGUAGCAGAGACAGCACAGCACAGCUUCCCAUGCGGCCGCAAGAACAGCUCCUUCUGCGGCCGCCAGCACACCCAGAUGUCUGCCCGGCCCCAGGUGCCGACGGCCCACCGGGAAAUUUCCCGGUAUCCCGGUGGGCCAGUCCGGCCCUGCAUCCAAGCAGUCAAACACCAGCACAACAUACAAACACACUCUUGCAAUCUAACACAAAUAUUACAUACAAACGCACCCCUUCACUCAAACACAAAUACUUCACACAAAUGUACAUCCCCAUUUAAAGGUGAACAUUACAUUUAAACACACCGCUGCAAUCAAAUGCAAACAUUACAUAUAAACAGAUACAUUACAUACAAACACACCCCUGUAUUAAAACACUAAAACUAUAUACAAGCUUCAGACAUUAACACUAUACAUUACACUAUAGCACCAGUAAAUGCUGCAGCGCUGUACAGAUAUACAACCUAGACAUUUUGACUUGGGGUGCCUUGAAAUAAUAUUCAAAUAUUAAAAGUUUGGGAACCACUGACUUCUACCAUUGCAUUUAGUAAAUAAUAAUAGGCUGCUUUCACCUUUCUUUGUGUUUAGGUAAUCGUCAGUUUCUGCAUAAAACACAAAGGUUAUAAGUGGCAGAUUCCUCCUAUUCACCUCUGGCUGGCUUAUCACAACAGCAUAUAUAUAGAUAUCAGUAUUUUUUUUUUUUUUAUUGUUGCUCCUAGCUGUUGAAAGAAUGUUGUCGGAUGAUAAGAAUCAUGGGUUUGUGGCCUGGAUGGCAGCUGAGCAAGAUGUGCAGUAAGCGAACUCCUCAGCCCUACCCAAUACUAAACAGCUGAAGCAUCCCGAUCAUCCCUUAAGUAUGUUCCAAAAUUGCAGAACAAGUACCAUACACAAGUCUCAGGCGAACACACCUCAGUCUCAAUUGAUGGACAAAUUCCUGUCCACGCCAUCAGCGUUGGUUGGAUCCGCAGCCUCAGAAAAAACUGCACCAUCCUCCUGAAUUGGAGGCCUUGAAGAAAGCAGGCUCGUCUCAACAAGGCCACCAAAUACGAGCGACAAUGACCUCAUUCUUGGAAGCUAUUUGCGCAGACUUACGCACGAUCUUCUGAUCAAUGCUAACUAAGGAUUACUUAACUGCUAUGUUACUAGAAAUAAAGGACACCAUUAAUCAGAAACUGUCAGAUUUUCGUAGCGAUGUAACAGGGCUAGAUGCCCAUAUGGAAAACUUAGAAGAGACCUCAUAGUGGCAAGACAACAGGCAGACACAGCACUAACAAGACAAGGCCAGGUGCUCCUGGAACUUGAGAGACACCCGGAAGACAUCGAUAACAGGGUGUGGAGAGACCUUCCUGCUCAGAACAAAAUCAAACAAAUCACACAAAAUGUCCGGUAUGGUAUGGUUGUUCCAGCGGGCUGUAGUGGUAAUGGUGGUUGGAGGAACUCUUUAAAACCAGAAUUAUUCUGAAGGUUAAUAACAAACGAAAUGGACGAAAUAUGAAAUGACCUCAACUGCCUGUCUCAUCACUUUAUUAGAGUAGUGAUGACGCAUGUCAUCAAACUGUUAUGUUCAAAAUAAACAUUGAUAUUUAUGCAAUGUUACUUUACACAUGUUCAGAUCAAAUAUUUUAGCUAUAGUGUAUAUAGUAUUUGUUUUGUUACCUAUUUUUAGUAUGUUUUUUGGUGUAACAGUGCUAAAAGGGAUACUCUAGUAAUAUAUCUAUUGGGAUUAUUGGUAACCCCAGAAGUAAGUAAAUAAAUAGAUUUUCUUACCCUUUUUCUCCCAGCAUGCCGGUCUUGUCACCAUUGCCCUGCCUCUACUGGCUAAAAUCACCAAUCCUGAUGAUCUCAGCCAAUCCUUUGUUUCUCAAAGGGAAGCUUUGGGAGACUAAUGCACAUGCAUGGCCAAUCAGCAUCUCCUCAUAAAGAUGCAUUGGCUCAGUACAUCUCUAUAGGGAUUGUUUGAAGUCUAUGUGCAUAGCAUGGAGAUGAAUGCUGUUCCUGCAUUCUUCGCAAGACCUUGUCCAGGAAGUCUCUCUAGUGGAUGUACGAGUUAUUGCCUUAAGCAGCAAUAUAAACACUGUUUUUUCUCAGAAAAGGCAGUGUUUUCAUUGCAGUGACAGGCCCUUUAAUGGUAUGUUAUUUGCUUUUUAUUGAUUAACGACAAAUCCCUGUUACUUUCACACAUCAUCAUCGCAGGAGAGGUAGUUGAAAGAAGGACUGAAUAUUUUAAGGUCAUUUGUUAAUAGUUGUUAGAAUCGUG